CAGUAGCCGCGGGAAUACGUAGGUGGCAAGCGUUGUCCGGAAUUAUUGGGCGUAAAGGGCUCGCAGGCGGUUUCUUAAGUCUGAUGUGAAAGCCCCCGGCUCAACCGGGGAGGGUCAUUGGGAACUGGGAAACUUGAGUGCAGAAGAGGAGAGUGGAAUUCCACGUGUAGCGGUGAAAUGCGUAGAGAUGUGGAGGAACACCAGUGGCGAAGGCGACUCUCUGGUCUGUAACUGACGCUGAGGAGCGAAAGCGUGGGGAGCGAACAGGAUUAGAUACCCCCGUAGUCCCUGUCUCUUAUAC
rnacentral:rRNA from 1 species